rnacentral:rRNA from 1 species
CCGCGGUAAUUCCAGCUCCAAUAGCGUAUAUUAAAGUUGUUGCAGUUAAAAAGCUCGUAGUUGAAUUUCGGGGUCAGUAGGUCGGUCGUGCCACUGGUAUGAACUGGUUUUACUGAUUCCUCCCUCUUGAAGAACUGUAAUGCCAUUAAUUUGGUGUUGCAGGGAAUCAGGACUGUUACUUUGAAAAAAUUAGAGUGUUUAAAGCAGGCUUUAGCUUGAAUACAUUAGCAUGGAAUAAUGAAAUAGGACGUUUGAUCCUAUUUUGUUGGUUUCUAGGAUUGACGUAAUGAUUAAUAGGGAUAGUUGGGGGCAUUAGUAUUCAAUUGUCAGAGGUGAAAUUCUUGGAUUUAUUGAAGACUAACUACUGCGAAAGCAUUUGCCAAGGAUGUUUUCAUUAAUCAAGAACGAAAGUUAGGGGAUCGAAGACGAUCAGAUACCGUCGUAGUCUUAACCAUAAACUAUGCCGACUAGGGAUCGGAUGAUGUUAAUUUUUUAAUGACUCA